UACGGAGGGUGCAAGCGUUGUCCGGAUUUAUUGGGUUUAAAGGGUGCGUAGGCGGUCUGUUAAGUCAGUGGUGAAAUCCCUCAGCUCAACUGAGGAACUGCCAUUGAUACUGAUAGACUUGAGUACGGACGAGGUAGGCGGAAUUUAUGGUGUAGCGGUGAAAUGCAUAGAUACCAUAAAGAACACCGAUAGCGAAGGCAGCUUACUAGACCGUAACUGACGCUCAGGCACGAAAGCGUGGGGAGCGAACAGG
rnacentral:rRNA from 1 species